ensembl:snoRNA
AAGCCCUAUAACAAAUAGAAAACCAUAGCAAAGCACAGAAGGGGAAAGUAAGUCUCCAUAAAACCCAGAGAAGAGAUGCUCGUUUCUUCUUUGGAUCCUGUCUGGAGUCACAAAU